rnacentral:tRNA from 1 species
GGCUCCUUAGCUCAACUGAAUAGAGCAUCUGACUACGGAUCAGAAGGUUGAGGGUUUGAAUCCCCCAGGAGUCA